rnacentral:rRNA from 1 species
CUCGUAGGUGGCCAACUAAGUCGGACGUGAAAUCCCUCGGCUUAACCGGGGAACUGCGUCCGAUACUGGUUGGCUUGAGUUUGGGAGAGGGAUGCGGAAUUCCAGGUGUAGCGGUGAAAUGCGUAGAUAUCUGGAGGAACACCGGUGGCGAAGGCGGCAUCCUGGACCAAUACUGACGCUGAGGAGCGAAAGCCAGGGGGAGCAAACGG